ensembl:lncRNA
UAAAACGUCAUUAGCAUGCGCUAGUGGUAAACAAUAAGAGCAUAAUGAAUCACACUUCGACAGUUGUAGUUUUUAUGUGUGCUGAAAAAAAAGUGGAAGUGGUGCAAGAGGAAGGAAUAAGAGCUUGAGGAUCAUCGGUUAGGAGCCACGAUUGUUUCACGAUGCCAAUCUUUCAUCUGGGACAGCCGAAAAUCAUGCGGUGUGUCUCGGGCUUAAGAACCCUGGAGCUGAAUCUGCCAGUUUGAGUCCUUGAAAGGGACUGUGUGCAUUUGUGACACUAUGAAGUCGGGUGUGUGCUUAUCCAAAAGACUCGGAAAAACGGAAGCUCCACUAGUGUUUUUGGCUCGUUUUCCCUCUUCUGUCACUGGAUUGAUUUCAUAAGAACCUGAGCAGUGAGUCAGACAGCUGGACUUUAUGACUCACUCAAACUCAAAGUCUGCAAGAUCCAUAUCUGAUCCAUGUCUCCAUGGCUGCGUUUGGACAGAAACACUAGUUCAGUACUAACUGAAUAUAUCUUUUUUUAGUUUAGCAGACACUUUAAGAAAAAGUGAGUUAUAAAUGAGUAAGAAAACAUGAUUCAUCAUGAGGCAACUCUUAGUUUUGACGUGAUGUAACACCAGUCUGGAGACAAAUCAAAUCUUCACUGUGCUGCCUCUGCCAGUUAUUUUUUUUUUCUCCAGGAUUGUGGUAAGCACUAAUGUACUGAGACCAUGAUAUUAAAAGAGCACAUUCAGUAUACACAUUAUUGAUAAUGCA